rnacentral:rRNA from 1 species
UGGGGAAUAUUGGACAAUGGGCGGAAGCCUGAUCCAGCAAUACCGCGUGUGUAAAGAAGGCCUGAGGGUUGUAAAGCACUUUCAAUUGGGAGGAAAACAGGCAGGUUAAUAUCCUGUCUCUUGACAUUACCUUUAGAAGAAGCACCGGCUAACUCCGUGCCAGCAGCCGCGGUAAUACGGAGGGUGCAAGCGUUAAUCGGAAUUACUGGGCGUAAAGAGUUCGUAGGUGGUUUGUUAAGUUAGAUGUGAAAGCCCCGGGCUUAACCUGGGAACUGCAUUUAAAACUGGCAAACUCGAGUUUAGUAGAGGGAAGUGGAAUUUCAGGUGUAGCAGUGAAAUGCGUAGAGAUCUGAAGGAACACCAGUGGCGAAGGCGACUUCCUGGACUAAAACUGACGCUGAGGAACGAAAGCGUGGGUAGCAAACG